GUCUUCGUGGUGUAGUGGUCAGCUCGCUCGGCGCGUAUUCGAGAGGUCCGAGGUUUGAAUCCCGGCGAUGGCA
rfam:Stegodyphus mimosarum contig179, whole genome shotgun sequence.